ensembl:lncRNA
GGAUAAACAAGGGGGUAUGUUUCUCCAAGUGCACACGCGUGAAAGCAAGGCAUUAUGGACCUGAGUGGAAUAGAGUUGGAGGGCGUUUUUAAGUAGUAUAUAGCGGUAUUCAAGGAUACACUGUUAGAAAGAACAGCGAUUGGGUAUCAUACCACAAAGGGAUAGGAAACACUGCGAGGGACGUUUGUACCGUCAUAAAAUGGUGCCAGGCUGCAACAUGAAGGCAGGGGCUGUGAAACCGUACCCUCAUCAUCUGACUGUACAGUAGAGAGACAGAGUCUCACUCUCGGUGUAAGCG